UUACGCAUUUUUUUUGUCGUUUUUUAAGACAACUUUCACCAAAACCCUAAAACCCAGCAACAGCAAAAUAAUAAAAACCCCCAAAAACUCAAACUCCUAAGGCUCCGUUUAGUUCACAACAAAAACGAAAUGGGAAUUCGAAUAACAUUCAAUUCCCAUCUUUAGGAUGCUAAUUUUUGGGAAUUAAAUAAGUGAUGUGCCCACAAGCCCGAAAAGAUUUGUAUAACCUUAAUUCUUGGUGGUACUGGGCAUCUGGCCUUUGCGACUCCAACCCCAAGCACCCACACCCAGAGCAGCUCCGUCCUC
rnacentral:misc_RNA from 1 species